rnacentral:misc_RNA from 1 species
AAUUCUCAACCUCUAUGGCUUUUUUGCGAGCUAGUGAGGCUUGGACUGUGGAGGUUGCUGGCUUCUAUUUAGAAACUAGCUCUUCUUAAAUGCAUUAGCAAUACCUUUGCUGAUCAUGUUCGGUAUGAUAAUUAUCUAUACCCAAUAGUGAUCAGUUUCUUUUAUUAAAGGGGGUUUUGCUUCUAAUAGUCUGAUUCAGACAAUAUUUAA